rnacentral:rRNA from 1 species
AAAUUGAAGAGUUUGAUCAUGGCUCAGAUUGAACGCUGGCGGCAGGCCUAACACAUGCAAGUCGAACGGUAGCACAGAGAGCUUGCUCUCGGGUGACGAGUGGCGGACGGGUGAGUAAUGUCUGGGAAACUGCCUGAUGGAGGGGGAUAACUACUGGAAACGGUAGCUAAUACCGCAUAAYGUCGCAAGACCAAAGAGGGGGACCUUCGGGCCUCUUGCCAUCAGAUGUGCCCAGAUGGGAUUAGCUAGUAGGUGGGGUAACGGCUCACCUAGGCGACGAUCCCUAGCUGGUCUGAGAGGAUGACCAGCCACACUGGAAC